GGUUUACCUGUGUGACUGCGUACCUUUUGUAUAAUGGGUCAGCGACUUAUAUUCUGUAGCAAGGUUAACCGUAUAGGGGAGCCGUAGGGAAACCGAGUCUUAACCGGGCGUUAAGUUGCAGGGUAUAGACCCGAAACCCGGUGAUCUAGCCAUGGGCAGGUUGAAGGUUGGGUAACACUAACUGGAGGACCGAACCGACUAAUGUUGAAAAAUUAGCGGAUGACCUGUGGCUGGGGGUGAAAGGCCAAUCAAACCGGGAGAUAGCUGGUUCUCCCCGAAAGCUAUUUAGGUAGCGCCUCGUGAAUUCAUCUCCGGGGGUAGAGCACUGUUUCGGCUAGGGGGCCAUCCCGGCUUACCAACCCGAUGCAAACUGCGAAUACCGGAGAAUGUUAUCACGGGAGACACACGGCGGGUGCUAACGUCCGUCGUGAAGAGGGAAACAACCCAGACCGCCAGCUAAGGUCCCAAAGUCAUGGUUAAGUGGGAAACGAUGUGGGAAGGCCCAGACAGCCAGGAUGUUGGCUUAGAAGCAGCCAUCAUUUAAAGAAAGCGUAAUAGCUCACUGGUCGAGUCGGCCUGCGCGGAAGAUGUAACGGGGCUAAACCAUGCACCGAAGCUGCGGCAGCGACGCUUAUGCGUUGUUGGGUAGGGGAGCGUUCUGUAAGCCUGCGAAGGUGGCCUGUGAGGGUUGCUGGAGGUAUCAGAAGUGCGAAUGCUGACAUAAGUAACGAUAAAGCGGGUGAAAAGCCCGCUCGCCGGAAGACCAAGGGUUCCUGUCCAACGUUAAUCGGGGCAGGGUGAGUCGACCCCUAAGGCGAGGCCGAAAGGCGUAGUCGAUGGGAAACGGGUUAAUAUUCCCGUACUUGGUGUUACUGCGAAGGGGGGACGGAGAAGGCUAUGUUGGCCGGGCGACGGUUGUCCCGGUUUAAGCGUGUAGGUGUGUGUUCCAGGUAAAUCCGGUUCACUUUAACACUGAGGCGUGACGACGAGGCACUACGGUGCUGAAGCAACAAAUGCCCUGCUUCCAGGAAAAGCCUCUAAGCAUCAGGUAACAUCAAAUCGUACCCCAAACCGACACAGGUGGUCAGGUAGAGAAUACCAAGGCGCUUGAGAGAACUCGGGUGAAGGAACUAGGCAAAAUGGUGCCGUAACUUCGGGAGAAGGCACGCUGACACGUAGGUGAAGUGAUUUACUCAUGGAGCUGAAGUCAGUCGAAGAUACCAGCUGGCUGCAACUGUUUAUUAAAAACACAGCACUGUGCAAACACGAAAGUGGACGUAUACGGUGUGACGCCUGCCCGGUGCCGGAAGGUUAAUUGAUGGGGUCAGCGCAAGCGAAGCUCCUGAUCGAAGCCCCGGUAAACGGCGGCCGUAACUAUAACGGUCCUAAGGUAGCGAAAUUCCUUGUCGGGUAAGUUCCGACCUGCACGAAUGGCGUAAUGAUGGCCAGGCUGUCUCCACCCGAGACUCAGUGAAAUUGAACUCGCUGUGAAGAUGCAGUGUACCCGCGGCAAGACGGAAAGACCCCGUGAACCUUUACUAUAGCUUGACACUGAACAUUGAGCCUUGAUGUGUAG
rnacentral:rRNA from 1 species